GAUAUGAAGACAGCUGUGAGGGAGAGCAGAGAGCAUCCUGGACUGGGAACCAGGAGACCUGGGUUUGAUUCCCAACUUCCUCUCAAAGCUAUAACAAAAAAGAAUAACUAGCAUUUUAAUAGUACUUCAAGGUCUGUAAAAUGCUUUAUAAAUAUUCUCUCCUUUAUCCUCACAGCAACCUUGGGAGGUAUUUAUUGUUGUUCAGUCAUUAUCAGUCUUGUCUGACUCUUCAUGACCCAUUUGGGCUUUUCUUGGCAGAGGUACUGGAGUGGUUUGCCAUUUCUUUCUUUGGCUCAUUUGACAGUUGAGGAAACUGAGGCAAACAGGGUUAAGUGACUCGCUUAGGGUCACACAGCUAUUAAGUGUCUAACUAACGGGAUUUGAACUCAGGAAGAUGAGUCUCUCCUGAUUCCAGGCCUGCUGCUUUAUCCACUGAGUCAUCUCGCUGCCCUCGGAGAAACAAACCCAGUGGCUUUUGGAAGAAGAAGCACCUACCCUCUCUGUGGAGUUCAGAGCCAGGAUUGGAGGAAGCCUUGCCUUCAUCUCUUGACUGGGCAGCUGCUAGACUACUCCAGCUCAUAGCUUUUUGGGACCAGAACUUUGUCUGCUAGGCUGACACAUAGAGGUAGAGCUUAGACCUCUGCUGUUUCAACUUGAUUGACUUCAAUAAGCAUCCAUUAAGCUUCUGUUGCCUGCCAAAUACUAGGCACCAGGGACCAGGAAUCUUUACCUGUUGGAUGAGGAAAAUCUUUCUCCCAACGCAGGUUGACACUCAAUCUGCAACUUAUAGCCUUAGGGCUGAGAUUUUUUCUCCUCAGAAGGAUCUGUGGACAGAUUUCAAGGCAUCUGUGAACUUGGAUGCUGGGAGCAUCUACUCUACAUGCAGACAUAUCCUAAGGACUGUGAGAGAGACAGAGAAAGAGCAGAAGCCCAGGCCUGUCUUCAGAGAGCUCAGUCUGGGGGAGGCCAAAGAAGUGAAUCUAAAGUCCUCCAAACCCUUCGAUACUCAUAAGGUCCUCCAUUGGCCAAAGGAGGGGACAAAGGAACUAGAAGAUUAA
rnacentral:lncRNA from 1 species